rnacentral:misc_RNA from 1 species
AGCAGCCGCGGUAAUUCCAGCUCCAAUAGCGUAUAUUAAAGUUGCUGCAGUUAAAAAGCUCGUAGUUGAAUUUCGGGACUAAUAUGUCGGUCGUGCCUCGGUACGUACUGGUUUAUUGGUUUCUCCUUUCUGAAGAACCAUGAUGUCAUUUAUUUGGUGUCGUGGGGAAUCAGGACUGUUACUUUGAAAAAAUUAGAGUGUUUAAAGCAGGCUCACGCUUGAAUACAUUAGCAUGGAAUAAUGAAAUAGGACGUUUGAUUCUAUUUUGUUGGUUUCUAGGAUCGACGUAAUGAUUAAUAGGGAUAGUUGGGGGCAUUAGUAUUCAAUUGUCAGAGGUGAAAUUCUUGGAUUUAUUGAAGACUAACUACUGCGAAAGCAUUUGCCAAGGAUGUUUUCAUUAAUCAAGAACGAAAGUUAGGGGGUCGAAAGACGAUCAGAUACCGUCGUAGUCUUAACCAUAAACUAUGCCGACUAGGGAUCGGAUGAUGUUAAUUUUUUAAUGACUCAUUCGGCGCCUUAC